rnacentral:misc_RNA from 1 species
AACGCACGAGACCUGCGGACCUGCGGAGGGAUCAUUAUCGAGUGGAAAAAACUGGCCUUUUGCGGGAAGGGUGGAUUUAGUUGCUGGCGUUGCGGCGCAGGUGCACUUCCCCAUCCCCGGCCACACUCCAAUCUUCAUAACUUCUCUCACACACCGUGCAUCUGUUUGUAGGGGCACGCGCGUCAAGCGUGACUAUUCCCCUAUGUAUGGUUAAUUUUACACCAAAGUUGCUUGGAACGU